CCUACGGGGGGCUGCAGUGGGGAAUAUUGGACAAUGGGGGCAACCCUGAUCCAGCCAUGCCGCGUGUGUGAAGAAGGCCCUCGGGUUGUAAAGCACUUUCAGUGAGGAAGAACGCCUGGUGGUUAAUACCCAUCAGGAAAGACAUCACUCACAGAAGAAGCACCGGCUAACUCCGUGCCAGCAGCCGCGGUAAUACGGAGGGUGCGAGCGUUAAUCGGAAUUACUGGGCGUAAAGCGCGCGUAGGUGGCUUGAUAAGCCGGUUGUGAAAGCCCCGGGCUCAACCUGGGAACGGCAUCCGGAACUGUCAAGCUAGAGUGCAGGAGAGGAAGGUAGAAUUCCCGGUGUAGCGGUGAAAUGCUUAGAGAUCGGGAGGAAUACCAGUGGCGAAGGCGGCCUUCUGGACUGACACUGACACUGAGGUGCGAAAGCGUGGGUAGCAAACAGGAUUAGAUACCCCUGUAGUC
rnacentral:rRNA from 1 species